CUUGCCGUGACCCCUUUUUUUAACGAGAUGGAUGAGCAUCAGCUGUGAGGAGCUACACUCAGCAGCACCUGAAGGUAGCACAGGGUGAGGUGACGUCACCGACUCCCAACCGGCACCGACGUCUCCUUCCUGCAUUGACAUCCCGCGGAAGAACUCGUCGGUUCUUUUUUCAUGUCUCCCACCUUCUUCAGUACAGCCGCCUUGUACAAGUUGGCCGACUUGCUGUUCUUAAAGACCUCAAACUCGAUGUCCACCGCCAACAUCUGGGUGUCAGAGCUGAGAUGUCAGAGAGGAAGAUCCGCCUGGAAACCGAACGGUCCUUUGGGCUUGUUGCUCUGAGCUGCUACGGUCCUGGUGCUGAGGACCGCCGCUUUCUCCAGCUGGGCCCGGACAACUUUGGGGUUGCGGCAGAAGUCGCAGGCUCCCGCACAGUUUGGACUCUUGUCCCCGAAGAACUGGGAGAUGAUGGCGUGACGGCAUCUGAUGGACGAAAGGACAGAUGCUGAACUGCUGACUCAUCUUGUACGAUCUCUACCAGUCGGUUUGGAGCUCAGCAGAGUGUGAGAAAAGUACAGAAGACAAAGCUGCAGCAACGCCAAACCACAGACUCACGUCUUUGCAGAGACACGAUUCACAGCCCAAAAAAAACAAAACAAAAUCAGCCCAGUUCGGUCGGCGUGUCCGCAGCACGGACCAGGAGUUACAUCCUGGAUGAAUCGGGAACCUGUGUAAACCAAACUGCAGCUCAACCUUUGCAGAGUAAACACCAAAAUCCACCUCCCUGCUGCUCUGUCAUCAGGAUGGAUCCUAAAAACGCCACGCUGACCCUCCUAAACAGGAUAUGGGUGAAGCUGCAGGGUCUGCCCACUGCCAAUGAAAUCGAGGUGGCGGGUUUCUUCAUCCUGCUCAUCUUCAUCUCGUUGGUUCUGAUCAUGACCUUAGUGACCUGCCUGACCUUCUGCUGCACCUGCUGUCGGGGGAAGAAGGGAUCUAUCUGAGCGGCAUGUGUGCUAGAUUUUUUGGGAUCGUUUGCCUUCCUUACUGGGCCUCUACACAGAGACACCCACAUUACAGGUCUGUGUCUGAGGAGCCGUGGACAGGGUGUGUGGAGCACAGCCUGUCAAUAACAAAGCAACUGAGUGCCAAGGGUGGAGAAGUGGUUCCACCUGAUCCUGCUCUGUGGUUCAAAGUACUUCAGUACUUUGAAUAAGGUACUAUAGUCUGGCUUUGCCUCAGUGUCUCCUUGGAUUUGGAUUAAAUGAUAAAAGUUAACGUUUUAUUGAUUUGUACUACACUUCUCUCCUAUGCACAUGGUGCAGAUUAUCACGUGAUGCCACUCAAGCAAUCACAUGAAUGACUGCAUGCUAACUCUGGAUGACUAAUUUUAUUUUAUUCUGGGUUUUUUUUAAAAAACUGAUUUUAAUAUAACUGCUUGUAAUAUGGGGUUGUUUUUAUUAUGUUCCACCGACUUAAGAAAGUUAAUUUCAUGUCAAAUCAUCUUCUGUUUAAAAAAAUAAAUUUUUCCAGAGAAGGAAUUUUGUUUACACGACUGUUUCCACUAACAAUGACAGACAGGACGACGCCUGCCCUCUGCUGUACAAAAAGUGUAAUAGCAUGUUUAUGAAAAACGGAGUUCACGUACAUAAUGUAUAAAGCUGAGGGGAAAAUGUGACUUUUUAAGUUAACAUCGCUACUUUGAU